UACAGAGGUGGCAAGCGUUGUUCGGAAUUACUGGGCGUAAAGGGCGCGUAGGCGGCUUCCUCAGUCAGACGUGAAAUCCCUAGGCUUAACCUAGGAACUGCGUCUGAUACUGGGAGGCUCGAGUUCGGGAGAGGGAUGUAGAAUUCCAGGUGUAGCGGUGAAAUGCGUAGAUAUCUGGAGGAAUACCGGUGGCGAAGGCGGCAUCCUGGACCGAAACUGACGCUGAGGCGCGAAAGCUAGGGUAGCAAACGGG
rnacentral:rRNA from 1 species